rnacentral:rRNA from 1 species
UACGUAGGCAGCAAGCGUUGUUCGGAGUUACUGGGCGUAAAGGGUGCGUAGGUGGCUCUAUAAGUAUGGUGUGAAAUCUCCCGGCUUAACUGGGAGGGUGCGCCGUAGACUGUGGGGCUAGAGUGUGGGAGAGGAAAGUGGAAUUCCUGGUGUAGCGGUGAAAUGCGUAGAUAUCAGGAGGAACACCGGUGGUGUAAACGGCUUUCUGGACCGAUAAACUGACA